rnacentral:rRNA from 1 species
CAGCCGCCGCGGGAAUACAGAGGGUGCGAGCGUUAAUCGGAUUUACUGGGCGUAAAGCGUGCGUAGGCGGCUUCUUAAGUCGGAUGUGAAAUCCCUGAGCUUAACUUAGGAAUUGCAUUCGAUACUGGGAAGCUAGAGUAUGGGAGAGGAUGGUAGAAUUCCAGGUGUAGCGGUGAAAUGCGUAGAGAUCUGGAGGAAUACCGAUGGCGAAGGCAGCCAUCUGGCAUAAUACUGACGCUGAGGUACGAAAGCAUGGGGAGCAAACAGGAUUAGAUACCCGCGUAGUCCCUGUCUCUUAUAU